rnacentral:rRNA from 1 species
GACGAACGCUGGCGGCGUGCUUAACACAUGCAAGUCGAACGAAGUGGCGAACGGGUGAGUAAUACGUGAGUAACCUGCCCUCCUUUUUGGGAUAAGCCUUUGAAAAGGGGUCUAAUACCGAAUAAAGGGGGAUGGGCUCGCGGCCUAUCAGCUUGUUGGUGGGGUGAUGGCCUACCAAGGCGGUGACCGGUAGCCGGCCUGAGAGGGUGACCGGCAACAUUGGGACUGAGAUACGGUCCAGACUCCUACGUGAGGCAGCAGGGGGGGAGAUUGCGCAAUGGGCGAAAGCCUGAUGCAGCGACGCCGCGUGGGGGAUGAAGGCUUUCGGGUUGUAAACCUCUUUCAGCCAUGACGCGGUAGUGGCAGAAGAAGCACCGGCUAACUACGUGCCAGCAGCCGCGGUAAUAC